GUGGGGAUCUUCCCAAUGGGCGCAAGCCUGAUGGAGCAACGCCGCGUGAGUGAAGAAGGUCUUAGGAUUGUAAAGCUCUGUCCUUAGGGAAGAACCGUGGAUGCAGCAAAUGGCAUCCACCUGACGGUACCUUUGGAGGAAGCACUGGCUAACUACGUGCCAGCAGCCGCGGUAAUACGUAGAGUGCAAGCNGUUGUCCGGAAUUAUUGGGCGUAAAGGGUACGCAGGCGGAUAGUAAAGUCAAGCGUGAAAGGUGUCGGCUUAACCGACAGACUGCGUUUGAAACUGAUUAUCUUGAGUGUAACAGAGGAGAGUGGAAUUCCUAGUGUAGUGGUGAAAUACGUAGAUAUUAGGAAGAACACCAGUGGCGAAGGCGACUCUCUGGGUUAACACUGACGCUGAGGUACGAAAGCUGGGGGAGCGAACGGGAUUAGAUACCCCGGUAGUCCCAGCCGUAAACGAUGGAUACUAGGUGUUGGAGGUUCGAAUCCUUCAGUGCCGGAGUUAACGCAUUAAGUAUNCCGCCUGGGGAUUACNGUCGCAAGACUGAAACUCAAAGGAAUUGACGGGGGCCCCCACAAGCGGNGGAGCAUGUGGGUUNAUUCGAAGCAACGCGAANAACCUUACCGAGAAUUGACAUNCCGUGACCAUNUAUGANAGUAGAGUUUGNCACUNUGGGACCCACGGAAACANGGGGGGCAUGG
rnacentral:rRNA from 1 species